UCUCUUAUGUAAUUCUUCUCCUCUAUCAUUCCAUUAUUUAACCAUCAUCUAAGAGCUUUGAAAUAACUAUUGUUGUGAUGACUGGGAAAUUGAGAAGCAAAUGUUGAAAAAGCAAAAAAAGUUCAGGCCUCAUCACCGUGGGACUUUUAUUGCGAAUUGGAAUUGGGGAUGGUGAGCUUAUAUGGAAGAUUCUUCAAGAGUGAAUACAACAUGUGAGGUUUUUGCCCUCUUCCUACUUUCUGUUAGAUUUUGGUGAAAUUUUUUGUUUGUUUUUCCAGAGUGGCUUGGUUGAGUUUUGUUCUACAAUUAAAAACCAAAGAAGAGAUACGAGGAAGGAGAGAUUUUGGUUGGUGAUGACAGUGUUGAACAGUUGCGGCUUACAUAAUUAGUAUUAAGUGAUGAUAGUUCAGAUCCGUUCAUGACAACUACUUCUAGAUUAAAGGCUGAUGCGUCUUCUUCCAACUUAGCAAAGAUUGUCGUUUUAUGUUGUAAUUUAUUUAUUUAUUUGUGCACUUUGAGUUAUUUACUGUUUUGCGUUUAGAUUAUGGUGUGAAUAUUAUAUUUUUUAGGUCAUAUAGAAUUUUUUAGGUCAUAAUAUUAUAUUUAAGUUAAUGGAGUUCUUUUUUUAUAAAAUGUAAACAAAAAUUGAGAUUUGAGUUUGAAAUUUUAAUUGAGUA